rnacentral:rRNA from 1 species
GACGAACGCUGGCGGCGUGCUUAACACAUGCAAGUCGAACGGAAAGGCCCUGCUUUUGUGGGGUGCUCGAGUGGCGAACGGGUGAGUAACACGUGAGUAACCUGCCCUUGACUUUGGGAUAACUUCAGGAAACUGGGGCUAAUACCGGAUAGGAGCUCCUGCUGCAUGGUGGGGGUUGGAAAGUUUCGGCGGUUGGGGAUGGACUCGCGGCUUAUCAGCUUGUUGGUGGGGUAGUGGCUUACCAAGGCUUUGACGGGUAGCCGGCCUGAGAGGGUGACCGGCCACAUUGGGACUGAGAUACGGCCCAGACUCCUACGGGAGGCAGCAGUGGGGAAUAUUGCACAAUGGGCGGAAGCCUGAUGCAGCAACGCCGCGUGCGGGAUGACGGCCUUCGGGUUGUAAACCGCUUUCGCCUGUGACGAAGCGUGAGUGACGGUAAUGGGUAAAGAAGCACCGGCUAACUACGUGCCAGCAGCCGCGGUGAUACGUAGGGUGCGAGCGUUGUCCGGAUUUAUUGGGCGUAAAGGGCUCGUAGGUGGUUGAUCGCGUCGGAAGUGUAAUCUUGGGGCUUAACCCUGAGCGUGCUUUCGAUACGGGUUGACUUGAGGAAGGUAGGGGAGAAUGGAAUUCCUGGUGGAGCGGUGGAAUGCGCAUAUAUCAGGAGGAACACCAGUGGCGAAGGCGGUUCUCUGGGCCUUUCCUGACGCUGAGGAGCGAAAGCGUGGGGAGCGAACAGGCUUAGAUACCCUGGUAGUCCACGCUGUAAACGGUGGGUACUAGGUGUGGGGUCCAUUCCACGGGUUCCGUGCCGUAGCUAACGCUUUAAGUACCCCGCCUGGGGAGUACGGCCGCAAGGCUAAAACUCAAAGGAAUUGACGGGGCCCCGCACAAGCGGCGGAGCAUGCGGAUUAAUUCGAUGCAACGCGUAAAACCUUACCUGGGUUUGACAUGGAUCGGGAGUGCUCAGAGAUGGGUGUGCCUCUUUUGGGGUCGGUUCACAGGUGGUGCAUGGCUGUCGUCAGCUCGUGUCGUGAGAUGUUGGGUUAAGUCCCGCAACGAGCGCAACCCUUGUUCACUGUUGCCAGCACGUUAUGGUGGGGACUCAGUGGAGACCGCCGGGGUCAACUCGGAGGAAGGUGGGGAUGACGUCAAGUCAUCAUGCCCCUUAUGUCCAGGGCUUCACGCAUGCUACAAUGGCUGGUACAGAGAGUGGCGAGCCUGUGAGGGUGAGCGAAUCUCGGAAAGCCGGUCUCAGUUCGGAUUGGGGUCUGCAACUCGACCUCAUGAAGUCGGAGUCGCUAGUAAUCGCAGAUCAGCAACGCUGCGGUGAAUACGUUCCCGGGGCU